GUUGUCUCUCUCUCUCCCCGUCUCAGACUCAGAACUGUUCUCUCUUCUCAGAACAGGGAAAAGCAAAAGCUAUACACAACGGAAGUUCCCAGCAAGCUGUGCUGGAAUGUAAACAGACAUGUGACGUGUAACAAUCCCAUGUCUGUUCCUUAAGGUGGAACAGAAAUCUCAACAUCUUCUGCUGUUGCCCCUGUACUAGAACCAGAUGCCUUGAGUUCUGCUCACAAAAAGGAGAGAAGAGGUGAUUUUUGGUGAUUCCGCCCCCUCCCCCUUUCUCCCUGCAGCCCCUUAGUACUCUUGAAAAUUCUCUCCAGAGGUUUGAAGGACCCUUCAGAACAGUGGCAGUGGUUGGCACAGAAUCAUAGCAAGCUGUGAGAAGAAUGGGUGAAAAUCGUCCUUCCACUGCCCUUUUCCAUGAGACUCCACUGGAUGUAAGCUCCAUGCGCAGACGGAAAGAACCCUUCUGGUUACAGAAGGGUGGUGUGCUAGAUCCAAGCCAUACCUGUGAAGGCACUCAUCUCCCCCCCCCACACAGGGCAAAGAAUCAGAGCAGAAAACAUCACUAAGUUCAGCAAGAGCUGGGGUGUUCUUGUAUGCUACUUGUAUCCUCUGCCCACUUGUGGGGGGGAAAAGCUGAGAAGUAACACUUUGAGGAACACCCCAACUUUUGCUGAGUUCCACAAGAGUUGGGAUGUCAUGGCUUCAGAAGUGGGGUGCAGAAGUAGGCAGCAAUUCUCAUUUUUCCUCAGGUGGCGAAACAGGCCGGGCCGCCCUGUCCCUGUGAGAGGGGAACGAAUCUGGUCCACAAGGAAUCAUUUAUGAAUGUUUAAAUAAUGUUUUUGGGGGAGACCCUACUUUUUUAUUCCCUCCUUUGUGAGAAUUGUCCAUUUAUUCCUCCUCUCUGUUUCCUGUUCUCUUAACAGUCACAGAACCAAAGGCGGGACAGUCCUUUUAUCCUAUUACUGCAAAGUUAUCUCAGGAACGUUCGGUGAGGGAGUUCAAAUAUACCCCUACUGCUGGAUCACCCCUCUCCACAUGCCUGUUUAGGAAACUGGCCUCAGAAAUUCAUAUUUGAAAUAGUUUGAUUCUUCUCCAAUCCUUGGGGACUUUGCAAGCAAAUCAACUCCAUCUACAGAUUAUUGGCAAAACCCUUAAAAGGCUAUCUGUUUAGACAGUCACACAUCUGCAGUUUUAAAACAACGCAGCAGGAAACACUUGGUUGUGUGAAAAUUGGGCCAUACAUCUCUCUGUCUCUCUUUCUCUCGCCAGUGGUCCGUUUUCAAAAUGCAGACCUACAGAGUCCGACCAUGCAUAUCAAUAUUCCCCGCUCUGAUCUGAGGAAGUGAAGGAGAUUUCCCUUUAGGGAAUGUUCUGUACACAAAGGCAAAGUUCUGGAUGCGAGGAGGCAGAGUCUCUCUUUCCCCCUCCGGCCUUGUUGAAAUGCCUGACACGAACAGGCAGGCCUGAUUAGAAUCUAUAUAUUCUGUCCCUUUAGGAAUAGAUAAGACAGAUAAAGAUAGCCAUGGAAGAAAUUGCUUCCAGGGGCAAUUUAUGUGCUUAUUCCUUAUCCACACCCCCUCCCUGUGUAAGCGCAUAAAACACUUUGGCUAGGAAAGAGACAAACCGCUGGCUUCUGGAACCACUGGGCAUAUUGUUCACACGGGCGAUAGUUUUGUUUUUCUUAAAAGUAUUGGCAUUUGGGAACUUUGCAAACCAAACUCUGUAAAAGUACUUUCAGCAACAACAAAGAAGUCCACACCCCAUUAACAGCGUCCAACCAGUUCAUUCUACAAACUGGAGCCUGGAUAGAGAGAGGUAAUUAAAAACACGUGCCUGGCUGGUUCAUGAGGUCCAAACCCCUCUUUCUUCUUUCUCAGUGAGUGUAUGAUCCUUACUGAGGAGGAUUGCAGGGGAGGAAAGGUUCCCUAAUAGUUAAAGUAUUCACUUCAACAAGGAAGUUUGCUGUAAGAUUCCUAAGGCGAUGUCUUUUACAUGUGUGGUGUAAAAAGCAACAAACUUUAAAAGAGAAAAUGCAACACACCAUACCCAUUUACCAUACAAAACAUGGUAAAUACCCAGGUACAAUACUACAAGUAGGAUAUAGGGAAAACCAUCAAUUACGCUGCUUCAAAAGAAUGAAUUGACUUUGCCUCCUCUUGCCAAGGUUCACGUGCUGCAGCAAUAUUAGAUUAUCUUUUCUGACUGAUAUUAUUUCUGCCACAUAAAAACAAUAGGGUUGUAGCCAGAAGUUCUACUCAGAGUAAACUAUUGAAAUUAACGUGCCGAAAUUAGUUGCAAGUCUAUUUAUUUCAAUGGGUCUAAUCUGAGUAGGAUUAAUGUUGAAUUUUGCCCAUAUCCUCUGGUUAAAAUUCAUAGUUUAUUAUCAGAAAUCUUUGGUGUUUGUAAGAUAUCUGUUGAUCAAGAUGACAAGAGCGGCUUAGAAUGAAAUAUGUAGUACACAGAAAACUGCUGCAUAUCUAAUUUUUCAAACUCUGAAAAGGCUUCCUUACAUGAAGGCAAUUCUAGCAAGAGUAUCAGAUUUUUUUAAAAAAAGUUAAGUGUGUGGCAACUAAAUCAUGCAGCCCAAUGCAGUUUGGUGGUAUUGCCUUUAUUCACCAACCACAACCAGGGAGGGGAGAGGAAUUUGUUUGCUUCACAUUAUAAUUUGAAAAUCUACCUAAUUCACACUUCUGUGCUCAUUUCAGUAGUGCAUAUACUAAAACUGAAAUGAAACAGAGAAGAUUCACACUUCCUGCACCAAAAUAUUGAAGGGCAGCUCAGUUGGUGCUGAUAACUCCCAAGGUCACAGGUUUGAUCCACAAAAGGGACAGCUGCAAAUUCCUGUAUUUCAGGGGGUUGAUCCUCAGGGUCCCAUUCAACUUUAUGAUUCUAUGAUUCAAUACAGUGGUACCUCAGUUUAAGAACAAUACGGUUUUAAGAGUUUGGCUUACAAACUCCGCAAAACUGGAAAUAGUGUCUUGGUUUGAGAACUUUACCUUGGUCUAAGAACGGAAUCCGAAUGGUGGAAGGCCUCCUUAGGGAAGGAGCGCCUCAAUUUAAGAAUGGAUUCAGUUUAACAACGGACUUCUGGAACGGAUUAAGUUUGUAAACCGAGGUACCACUGUACAUGGAUUGAAACACAGCUCUUCCUUCAAAAUUCGCACUUAUCUGAAUUUUGCUAUGCAGUUUUCCACCCCAACACACCAAGUGCAUGGCCUAUAUUAGAAAACUUGCACUAAAAUGCAUUAGUAAAAACUGAUCUGUUAGCUCCCUUAGAACGUACAAAAAUGCACUCUGUUAGGGGAAAUGGCUUUUCAAAAUGUGUACAGUGGUACCUAGGGUUACAUAUGCUUCAGGUUACAGACUCCACUAACCCAGAAAUAGUACCUCGGGUUAAGAACUUUGCUUCAGGAUGAGAACAGAAAUCGUGUGGCGGCAGCAGGAGGCCCUAUUAGCUAAAGUGGUGCUUCAGGUUAAGAACAGUUUCAGGUUAAGAACGGACCUCCGGAACAAAUUACUGUAAGUGCUUAGCCUGAGGUACCACUGUAUUAUGCACAGGAAAAUGCAUAUGGCUUUCCAUGCAGUCUUUAAAAUAGAUAAAUGAACCGCAGAUUGAUGAGGAAAUGGGAUGAAUGGAAGGUGUGACAGAGGAGAGAAACCAAAAAGGUCGGAUUCGCUCGUCCCUAACUCCAACUAGCUGCUAUAGUCGCAGCAAAAGUUCAUGUAGUCAACAAUAGUUAUAAACUGUAUCCAUGAAAGGGUGGACUUUUUGGCGAUGCCACUGGAGUUCUUUUAUCUGCUUGCCAGAAAAUGUUGCAGGAUCUUUUAGAGUUUGCCUUGGCAACCAAAGUGAAAGGUUAAAUUCAGUGCUCUCAGUACAGGGCAGGAAUCCCACUCAGCUGCGCCUAGCAAAAUGUCUGCCUUCUCUUAGAAACAGAUAUGGCAAAUGUUAAGGAAUGUUAAGGAACUGACACUUGGCUUGAAGAAGUGCCGUAUGUUCAGAUCCUUCACACUGGGCCUGCUUUGAGUGGAUCAGGAUGUUUCUUUGAGGCUGUUUUCACAAAUGAUGCUUACUAUGAUUCCCACCCCCCCCCCAGUUAUUUCAACUGAAAAGGUAAUUUUUUAAAAAUAAAAUAAAAUUAGAUUCAUUAGAUAACUGAGACAUUGUUUGUGAAGCGCUUUGAACACUUUAAAUCUGCAUCAUCAUAAUUACUCAGGAGAGCCACUUCAUUAAUUAUGCCACCAAAAAAGAGGACCAAAAAAAAGGACACAGAAUAAAUUUGCAUAUGUUAAUUUAUAGGCAUAGCUGCAAAUGUAGAAAUAAUUACAAUACUUCAAAUUGAAAAAGAAUAUGUGUCACCUGGUGUGGAAGACUGCAACAGGUUACCUGUGUACCUGCUCAGUCUGCUCUCCAGGUGUUGGCAGGCAAUGCCAGGGACCCUGUUUCGCCUUCUUUAUCUUUGAAGCAGACUUGGACUUCAGACAGACAAUGCCUUCAAAGAGAUUGUCUUCUGUAAAGCAGGAUACCAAAAUGGCUAUUGUUUGUUAUUGUCAUUAUCAUCAGCUUUCUAUCCAACACUCUUAGCUGAUCAAUUCUAGACUGCAAAAUGUGUUUAUUGUUACCUAUGGAAACAUCCAAAGUCAUUUGAAUUUUUCUUUCCAAGAUUAAUCAAUUGUAAGACUUGACUGUGUUUUUUUUAAAAAAAUAUUUCUAUUCUAUUCUGUUCUGUUCUGUUAUAUAUUACUAGUGUCCGUUUAGGGCAGUGGUGAGGAACCUUCAGCCCACAAACAUAACCCGGCCCUCCAUGUCCCUCAGUUCAGCCCUGCCACUCCUGCCUGGUGGACUCCACCCACCUGCCAAUCAUCAAACAUCAAACACUGUAUUGCUCGUUUCAUCUUUUUGUGGUUUUUAAAAUUAGUCACCUCACUGUAUCUAACGAUGGAUCAAACAGUGCAUCUGCUGUCUUCUACUGCCAGAGUAGGGACUCUUAUUUCAGCUCAAGCACUGGAUUCAAACUUGGGCAUCCUCCAAAGGUCAGUGGAGCAAAAGCGAGUGGGCAAAAGCAACUCUCAUCAUCCCUGACCAUUGGCCAUGCUGACUAAGGCUGACCGGACCUGUAGUCCAAGACACCUGGAGGGCACCAUGUCAGCUUCCCCUGUCCUAGACGAUUAGCUUCAAUCUCAGUUUUUAAAUGCAUACUCCUCCUGUAUUAUAUUGCCCCCACUCCUGCAUUAUCUCGCUAUACAGAUGGGAGAACCAAAGCUGAAAGAAAACCCAGUACAGGGAGUCUGUGUGAGAUCCGAAAUGGAAACCCAGGCUUUCCAAAGGCAAAUGUUAAUUUUGUAGCUAUAUAUACAGCCUAACAAGGUGCAUGUUCCUCAUUCGGCAGAGACAUUGGACUUGGCACUAGUGUGGAAGCAGUUGGAGAAGAGUGUCAUGUAUUUCCCCACAUCUUUCCAUGCCAAGAUAACGUUGUAUAAACAUCAUUUCUUUCAGCUAGAACUCUGAUUAUCUGAGCAUUUGGUACCCCCCUAGGUUACUUGGAUAAAAUAGGUUGUAUUUAUUGCAUUGCUUAAGGUCCUUUGGAAAGUGCCGAUUUUUUUUGUCAGUGCUGAGUGCCUUGGGAGCACCUGAGAGAAACUUAGCUUCUGUUUUCUCCCACUUCAAUUGAUCACCACCACAACCUAAAACAUUAUGGUGACCUUCUGAAGAGGAUAAAAUAAAGGCUGUUGUCCUGGCAGAGUUCCUCGUUUUCUGUUUUGGUUAAGAAGGAAAUAAUUUUUAUUUACGGCUAUUGACUAAACGCUGUGCUUCAUUGUUGACUUUCAUUCUUCACAAAGAACUAAAGCUCAAGAUUAGCAAUAACUUAGCCUACUCCUACUGUAGCCUGCAAAGCUGGAGGCAAUUAUCCCAAUGAGAACCCAUCAAUUUCCUCACCAGCCUUUCUCCUUCCUCUUCUUCUUCUUCUUCCAGAAAUGUUAGUCAUUGUUAGACAGAUAAAGUCUUCCAAAGAUAUUUAACAGGCAUACUGCCCUGGGUUUCCUGACAUCUUCUCUUUUGCUUUAGCUCAGCCAUUGCCAACUCUGUACAAAGCGAUACCCCACUAGCAUAACAGCAACAACCCUGGCGUCUUCACAACAACACAGAUCCUCCAUUGUCUAUCCCAGCCUUUCCCAAACUGGUGUCCUCCAGAUGUUUUGGACUACAACUGCCAUCAGCCCCUGCCAGCAUGUGCUGGCUGGACCUUUGGGAAUUACAGCCCAAAAUAGCUGGUUGGCAAAGUCUACUUUAAGAUGUUCACUAUCAGACUACAUGUUGCAAGUGUUUCAGCUUUUUGUUGAUUGGGGCAUUAAAACUGUUGGCUUCCCCAAACCUCACGCCUUCUUCUCCUUCCCCAGUGAUAAGAUUGGGCUGAACCUUCUGGAACACAUAAUUUAUUGAGUCAUUUCACAGGUCACCUCACAUUAAGAGCCGAGGCUGCGAUUGUAAAUCAGAGGAAACCUCCGCCAUAAAAAUAAAAUGAAGCGAGGCAUGUUCGUUUGCUUCUGGCAUCGGAAGAGAAAGGAAAAGAUUCCAUUCCAUUCCAAAUAGCCUUUGGUUCUUACGGGGUGAAAUACCUGUUCUUGGGAAAUGCGCCUGUGUCUGUGAUAACUCCCUGGAAGGACAGAAGGGGCGAAGUCAGCAAAUUUAGUUUCUUCAGUCACCAUAGCACUAAGAAGGAGCGUCUCCACCUCCAUCGUUCUGCCCGGACACUGAGGUCCAGCGCCGAGGGCCUUCUGGCGGUUCCUUCACUGUGAGAAGCCAAGUUACAGGGAACCAGGCAGAGGGCCUUCUCAGUAGUGGCACCCGCCCUGUGGAACACCCUCCCACCAGAUGUCAAAGAGAAAAAUAACUACCAGACUUUUAGAAGACAUCUGAAGGCAGCCCUGUUUAGGGAAGCUUUUAACAUUUAAUAUGUUAUUGUAUUUUAGUGUUUUGUUGGAAGCCGCCCAGAGUGGCUGGGGAGGCCCAGCCAGAUGGAUGGGGGUAUAAAUAAUAAAUUGUUGUUGUUGUUGUUGUUAUUAUAAGAGGAUGAUGAGGAAAAUGUGCGGAGGAGGGUGACCAUGAUGAUCAAGCAUCUGGAAACCAAGCCUGGUGAGGAAUGGUUGAGGGAUUUGGGUAUGUUCAGCCUAAAUAAGAAGAGGAGAGCAGAUAUGAUAGCUAUCUUCAAAUACCUAAAGGUUUUGGGUCUAUGGACCGCAAGAGCAAGCUUGUUUUCUCCUGCUCCGGAGAGCAGGAAUUGAACCAAUGGAUUCAAGUUACAAGAAAAGGGUGUCCAACUAAACAUCAGGAAGAGCUUUCUGAGGUUAAGAGCUGUUUGACAGUGGAACAGACUCCCUCAGGAAGUGGUGGGUUCUCUUUUGUUUGAGGUUUUUAAGCAGAGGUUGGAUGGCCAACUGUGAUUCUCGCAUUUCAGGGGGUUGGACUAGAUGAACCUCGGGUCUCUUCCAGUUCUACAAUUUGGUCAUUCUGUAAGUAUAGGGCAAGCGUGUGCUGCUGCUUAAUCAAGGGUUCCAGAUAUUUUUUGUGUGAGCCUAGAGCCAACAUUAACUUCCCUGAAGAGCAGGUAUUCGGGUGUUUAAUCCAAGCCAACCAUUUCAUAUGAAUAAGAUCAGUAGAACGACAGCAGGAAGGGCUGCAGUUCCAAAUGGUGUGCAGGAUCAGGAUCAGGCCCUCUCUCCUGCAGUCAUUUCCCUCUCAUCGGGUAGGUUUAAUGUCGAAAAGGAAAGAGGCCCAAAUAAAUCAAGGAAGAAACCAGGGAUUUGUUUGGUGGCGGGGAGAAAGGGAGAGAGAAAUGAAAUACUGGGAGUUGUUCCAUUUAAAAUAGAUUUGAAGAAUGUGUUGGGGGCAGGCCAGGGGGGAGAGAAAAUCUGUACAUAGAUCAAAUCUUAAUUAAAGAUCUGGCAUCAAAUCUGGCAAUAUAUAUAUAUAUAUAUAUAUAUAUAUAUAUAUAUAUAUAUGGAGACCAAGGAAGAAAAGACGAAUAACCCAUCCUUUAGCCAAAAAUAAGCUGUAGAUGAUUCAGAAUGGCCCACUGCUUUCUGCAAGUCAGGCACUGAUAAACGAAGUAUCUUGGGGGAAAGUGUUGAAGGCCCAUUCAGGAGACGAGAUUUCUUAACACUGUGCUUGGCUCUUAAGACUGAAUACAUGGUGCCAGCAGGAAUCAAAUUAGCCAGAGACUAAUGAAUGCAAACAAACCAUUUUUCGAUAGUCUGUCCCACUAAACUGUGAUGUAGUAGCGUGAUGGCAAAUAGUGUUUGAAUCACAGGGAGGAAGUUCUGGAGAAAUAAGGAAAUCUACAAGCACCAUGAGGGGACGCGGGUGGCGCUGUGGGUAAAACCUCAGCACCUAGGACUUGCCGAUCGCAUGGUCGGCGGUUCAAAUCCCCACGGCGGGGUGAGCUCCCGUCGUUCGGUCCCAGCUCCUGCCCACCUAGCAAUUCGAAAGCACCCCUAAGUGCAAGUAGAUAAAUAGGUACCGCUUUCUAGCGGGAAGGUAAACGGCGUUUCCGUGUGCUGCUCUGGUGCCGGUUCGCCGGAGCAGCUUUGUCACGCUGGCCACGUGACCCGGAAGUGUCUGCGGACAGCGCUGGCUCCCGGCCUCUAGAGUGAGAUGAGCGCACAACCCUAGAGUCUGUCAAGACUGGCUCGUAUGGGCAGGGGUACCUAUACCUUUACCUUUUUACAAGCACCAUCCUUAUAACCUUAUAAGACCAGGAGCCGUUUCCAUAUACAGUGGUACCUCCGGUUACGUACUUAAUUCAUUCCGGAGGUCCGUUUUUAACCUGAAACUGUUCUUAACCUGAAGCACCACUUUAGUUAAUGUGGCCUCCCGCUGCUGCUGCUGCGCCGCCGCCGCACGAUUUCUGUUCUCAUCCUGAAGCAAAGUUCUUAACCCAAGGUACUAUUUCUGGGUUAGCGGAGUCUGUAACCUGAAGCGUAUGUAACCUGAAGCAUAUGUAACCCGAGGUACCACUGCAUGCCAUUGACCAACAGAAUCAGUCAGUUGGUCCAUACAAGCAUUCUUGUAUUACAGGUUCUUAAUUCUAUUAUAAAUAUCAUCAUCAUUGAUUUAUCAUCACCUUUUAAACCAGUGUCUCAAGGCGAUUUACACAUAAUGUAAUUAAAAGCAGUUAAAAAAAAUUAAAGGACCCAUUUAUCCAGCUGGGAAAGCCCGUGGGCACAAAACACGUCUUCAAUUGUUUCUGGAAAGUGCUGAUCAUGGGCUCUUGUGAUAUCUCAACAGGAAUGCUCUUCCGCAGAACAGGGGCAGCCACACUGAAAGUCCUGCUCAGAGUUACUAUGCAGCAAGCUAUUUGGAACUUGCAGGAAAAAAUCUCUCCCCCAGGCCACAGUGGGAGUAUAUGGGAUAAUGCAGUAUCUCAAGUAAACUGGUCCUGAGCCGUAUGCCAAAUGCCAGGAACACAAUUCUGGGACUUUGCAUCUCCUGACGCUCUU
rnacentral:lncRNA from 1 species